GUUAAUGUAGCUUAAUAACCAAAGCAAGGCACUGAAAAUGCCUAGACGAGCCUACCAGCUCCAUAAACA
rnacentral:tRNA from 1 species